AAAUGUUCAAUCUGACAACAAUAAAAUUUCAGAUGACAGUGCAUUUUGAGAAUAAAUAAACAUGUCAGUUUACCGAGUAUUGCUUUGGAGUUGCUCGCCGGUGUCACUAGUAUGCUUUUUAAUGUAACGAGUAUUGGUUAUUAAUAUCAAGUAAAUGUGAGAAGUAAUCACAGAGUAUUUACCACAUUUAACCUUAAAUAUUUCUUAUUGUCACAAUGUGUAUACUUAUUGACAUAUGUGCAGAAUAUGCAGAUUUUGGAGGUACUGUACUGAAUAAUACAUACCCAGCAAACAUGCAUAUAUGGGACCCAUAUGGGCUAUAUCUAGGCAAGCUAAUGGGUAUGCCCAUAUUGGACCUAUAUGGAUCCAAUAUUGGCAAGUCCAUUUGGGUACGCCUAUAUAUUAGACCCAUAUGGGUACCAUAUUCCAGCACUUUAAGGAAAAACGAUUUUUCUUUUAUUUAUUUCUUUAGAACUCGUUUACUUUGAGCUAUAGUGUGACCACCUUGGCAUAAAUUGCUAUUAUCUUAUAUAAAAUCGUAGCAUUAUUUUAAACAUUUAUACAAGCCAUGAGGGACCCAUAUGGGUCCCAUUUGGGCAACCCGAUAAAUAUUAGCAUGCCUGAGCAGGUGCGAGAAAUUAAUUUGUUAAGUUUUUAUAUUGGUUUUAAUUUUUAUUAUUUAAAUAUAAAAAUGUGUUUUUAGACUAUAAAUUCAGAAAUAAUUUAUAAAAAUCAGCAUUUGAUGAAAAAAUUUAUUUCGAGCAUGUGCAGACGUGAUUUCCGCUGCCGCUUAAAAUCAAAUUGUGUAUUGAAACGUUAAAUUGUAAAAUUGUACACGAAAAAAAUAUUUCUUUUCGAUUCCGAGCAUUUAACCACGAUUUCGUAUAACGACCUUUCAUAUUAUAUCCUAACAUGUUUAUUGUGUGUGUAGGUAAGCUGUAAACGCUGUUUAGUUUUUGGUUUUGCCUUUGCCAUGUAAUUUCCCAAUAGUCGUUUAAUUUGCGACAUUUUCUAGAAUUUACGCCCUGACUCUUAGGCACUUUAGCUGACCUAUGCAUGUGUAUAGUUGUUAUUGUUGAAUUACUUAACUGUGACGGAGUCGACACUAACAUUUUAAAAAUAUUGUUUCUAUCUAGACUAAAUUUUAAGAGAUCUUUUUUUAAAGGGACACCAUCAUUUGAAAUCCAGUGUCCCCCCUAGCCUUAGAAGUCCCUUCCAUUUUGUACCAACAUUUCAUUCAUAAGCAUUUUAAAAUAUUAAAUACAAAUACUUAUUUUUACAAAUUCAAGUAUUUUUUCCAAGUACCAACCAAGCCCUCUAGCUGUUGCACAGGCAUGAGUAUCGGACCUGAGAAGAAAAAAUAUGACCUGAUAGAUAAUUAAACCUGUGUUCAUCUUAAAAAAUUCAAAAACCAAAAAAAAUGUAAAUUAUGACCCCCUUUAAAAACAUACUAUAAGUUAAGAGAAGGCCGGAAACUCUAGAUUCGAGCCUACGAGCAAGGGAUUCACUACCCGGGCCGUUGUGAAAACAAUUGUCCAGACAAUUAAAAAAUCUUUUAUCAUUAUUUCACAUUUGUAUUAAGCUUCCAAAUGAGACCAACUCCAAGUCUCUAGCCCUUCCUGUUCAUGAAAUAAUCCUAUCAGGAAACGAGCGCAUUCGUGCUAAAAAUCCUUGGUAGAAAAAAUUGCGGCACAACAAUUCGGUACGUAAACAUAGACUAAUACAUGUUUGUCAGCCGUGUACAGGUCAUAAUCAUAUUGUCACUUGGUGCAAUAACUCACUUAAUGUAUAUGUAUUUUUUAACUACUUAUUAAUGUAUUUUCAUUUUAUUGUCAAUAGGCCAUCAAAAAGGCUGUAUGAAUCGGAUAGUGACACUGAUGAGAAUGAGACAGACACCGAGAGUAGGCCAUCACAAGUUAUUGACAAAGCAACAACGCCCAAACAGGCACGAAGCCUACUUUCACCUCCGCCUUGCUUAUCUGCACAGGCAUUGCGAGAGGCCAGCAGUGAUGUGCAAAGUGCUUCUCUAAUACAAGGUGCUUCUGAUACGCCCUCCCGUGGGCAGAUUAUUGGGCCCACUGCUGUUACACAGAUUCUCUGAGUCUUGGAGACAAUGCGGGAGGAGAAUCGUGAAAUUAAGAGGAUGAUGUAGCAAUUGUUGUCAAGGUCAGCAGCAGAUGACCAACCGCUGCAGCUUCCUGAAGAUAUCUCAUUCCCUAUUCGUUCUCCUUAGCAGAUGGAAACAUUCGAUGAGCUUCUGGGAGAUCAGACAAAGCUGUCAUCUGUGGUGCGGUUCCUCUCAAUGUUUGGUGGGGCAGUUGUGCGGGAAACUGUUGACCGCUAGAUGAUAGAAACCAUGUCAAAUGAACUGGCAGGAAUGUUCAAUAUGAAGGGGCUGAAAGGGAAGAAAACAUUUUGGGGCC